CUGCUGACUAUGGUGUCUAUAUAUUUUAUCUACAGGUAUCCUGCUGACUAUGGUGUCUAUAUAUUUUAUCUACAGGUAUCCUGCUGACUAUGGUGUCUAUAUAUUUUAUCUACAGGUAUCCUGCUGACUAUGGUGUCUAUAUAUUUUAUCUACAGGUAUCCUGCUGACUGGUGUCUAUAUAUUUUAUCUACAGGUAUCCUACUGACUAUGGUGUCUAUAUAUUUUAUCUACAGGUAUCCUGCUAACUAUGGUGUCUAUAUAUUUUAUCUACAGGUAUCCUGCUAACUAUGGUGUCUAUAUAUUUUAUCUACAGGUAUCCUGCUGACUAUGGUGUCUAUAUAUUUUAUCUACAGGUAUCCUGCUGACUAUGGUGUCUAUAUAUUUUAUCUACAGGUAUCCUGCUGACUAUGGUGUCUAUAUAUUUUAUCUACAGGUAUCCUGCUGACUAUGGUGUCUAUAUAUUUUAUCUACAGGUAUCCUGCUGACUAUGGUGUCUAUAUAUUUUAUCUACAGGUAUC